rnacentral:rRNA from 1 species
CCGGCGCACGGGUGAGUAACACGUAUCCAACCUGCCGUCUACCCUUGGACAGCCUUCUGAAAGGAAGAUUAAUACAAGAUGGCAUCAUGAGUUCACAUGUUCACAUGAUUAAAGGUAUUCCGGUAGACGAUGGGGAUGCGUUCCAUUAGAUAGUAGGCGGGGUAACGGCCCACCUAGUCUUCGAUGGAUAGGGGUUCUGAGAGGAAGGUCCCCCACAUUGGAACUGAGACACGGUCCAA